AUUUUAUAGUAUAUAAAACAAAGAGAUGAAGAAAAUUAUAAUAAUGAAGGUGGCAUUCUUUUUCAUCUUUAAUAUACAUUAUAGAGUAGAAUCAUGUGCUACAGACCAGUUUCAAUGUGAAAAUGGGGAAUGUAUUCCUAGUGCGAAAAGAUGCGACGAUAAUUUUGAUUGUGGAGACCGGUCUGAUGAAAAAAACUGUUCUGAGGUAAACCAGUGUCCGGAAGGCUUGCACAAAUGUUUUAACGGACAAUGUGUUGUCGACUUGAACCUAUGUCCAACAUCAACUUUAAUUCAAACUUAAAUAUCAUCCACACAUACAUCUCCGUUACAAUCAUCUUCCUUGUUUACGUCAACAUCAUUUGGCAUUGUGGCUACAACAUUGUUGUCUGAAAGUUCAGUUAUAGAAACAACCAGAGCAUCGGUGGAAUCUAUUACUCCUAUAACUGAAGAUCACAUUCCUGACACAGAAAAUGGUUAUAAUUUAAAUUAUUUAUGGCUUCUUCUAUUGGUGCCAGUUAUUGGCAUCAUCAUCGGUGGUAUUGUGUACUGGUAUAGAAACCGGGAACGACGAAUGAGAAAACGAAAAGAUAAAUACAAAGUCAAACAAAAAGUAUAAAAAAGCAGGAAAUGCAGCAGGAAUACAAUGAUUGAAUAUGAAACUUUGAACUCUACUGUAUCAGAUUAAUUACCUUAGUCGAAUACAUCGUUUCUUCCAGGUGAAAUUCAGGAUUGACAUAUAAGGAGGAAAAUGUAGACACUAUAGACACUAUACACUCUAGGUUUUAUCCUGAAAGUUGUAUGCUAGGUCAGGAUCUGUUAUCAAAAUUGUUCUUUGAUCAAUUGAAUCAAGUUUCUAUGAA